UAGGGAAUCUUCGGCAAUGGACGAAAGUCUGACCGAGCAACGCCGCGUGAGUGAAGAAGGUUUUCGGAUCGUAAAACUCUGUUGUUAGAGAAGAACAAGGACGUUAGUAACUGAACGUCCCCUGACGGUAUCUAACCAGAAAGCCACGGCUAACUACGUGCCAGCAGCCUCGGUAAUACGUAGGUGGCAAGCGUUGUCCGGAUUUAUUGGGCGUAAAGCGAGCGCAGGCGGUUUCUUAAGUCUGAUGUGAAAGCCCCCGGCUCAACCGGGGAGGGUCAUUGGGAACUGGGAGACUUGAGUGCAGAAGAGGAGAGUGGAAUUCCAUGUGUAGCGGUGAAAUGCGUAGAUAUAUGGGGGAACACCAGUGGCGAAGGCGGCUCUCUGGUCUGUAACUGACGCUGAGGCUCGAAAGCGUGGGGGGCAAACAGG
rnacentral:rRNA from 1 species